UACGUAGGGCGCAAGCGUUGUCCGGAAUUAUUGGGCGUAAAGAGCUCGUAGGCGGUUCCGUAAGUCGUGAAGUCAAAUCUCUGGGCUCAACCCAGAAUCGCUUCCGAUACUGCGGUGACUGGAGUCCGGUAGGGGAGUGUGGAAUUCCUGGUGUAGCGGUGAAAUGCGCAGAUAUCAGGAGGAACACCAACAGCGAAGGCAGCACUCUGGGCCGGUACUGACGCUGAGGAGCGAAAGCAUGGGGAGCGAACAGG
rnacentral:rRNA from 1 species